UAGGGAAUCUUCCGCAAUGGACGCAAGUCUGACGGAGCAACGCCGCGUGAGUGAAGAAGGAUUUCGGUUCGUAAAACUCUGUUGUUAGAGAAGAACAGCGCAUAGAGUAGCUGUUAUGCGUGUGACGGUAUCUAACCAGAAAGCCACGGCUAACUACGUGCCAGCAGCCGCGGUAAUACGUAGGUGGCAAGCGUUGUCCGGAUUUAUUGGGCGUAAAGCGAGCGCAGGCGGUCAAUUAAGUCUGAUGUGAAAGCCCCCGGCUCAACCGGGGAGGGUCAUUGGAAACUGGUUGACUUGAGUGCAGAAGAGGAGAGUGGAAUUCCAUGUGUAGCGGUGAAAUGCGUAGAGAUAUGGAGGAACACCAGUGGCGAAGGCGACUCUCUGGUCUGUAACUGACGCUGAGGCUCGAAAGCGUGGGUAGCAAACAGG
rnacentral:rRNA from 1 species